AUUGAACGCUGGCGGCAUGCUUUACACAUGCAAGUCGAACGGUAACAGGCCGCAAGGUGCUGACGAGUGGCGAACGGGUGAGUAAUGCAUCGGAACGUGCCCAGUCGUGGGGGAUAACGCAGCGACAGCUGUGUUAAUACCGCAUACGAUCUAUGGAUGAAAGCGGGGGACCGUAAGGCCUCGCGCGAGUGGAGCGGCCGAUGUCAGAUUAGGUAGUGGGUGGGGUAAAGGCCCACCAAGCCAACGAUCUGUAGCUGGGCUGAGAGGACGGCCAGCCACACUGGGACUGAGACACGGCCCAGACUCCUACGGGAGGCAGCAGUGGGGAAUUUUGGACAAUGGGGGCAAGCCUGAUUCAGCAAUGACGCGUGCAGGAAGAAGGCCUUCGGGUUGUAAACUGCUUUUGUACGGAACGAAACGGUCUGGGUUAAUACCCUGGGCUAAUGACGGUACCGUAAGAAUAAGCACCGGCUAACUACGUGCCAGCCGCCGCCGUAACAC
rnacentral:rRNA from 1 species